UUCAUUUCAAAUUUCAAAAAACAACUUCCCUUCGCAGCUUCUCUCUCAUUUCUAAAUUUCUUCAUCUUUCUUCUCAACGGCAACUAUCUCCCUCCUCUUCCCCCUCUCUCCGCCUCCCCUUCUCUCUCGAUCUCUUGUCUCCUUCGUCUUCCUCAGAAUCUUCACUCUUCCUUUCUCUCAAUUUCUAUUCUCUAAAAUGAAGCAUCCACCCAAGAAACCCUAUCUUGCUAAAUACCCAUCUCGCCGAUCCACUGCCAUUUUCUAUUCCAUGCGCUAACGGCGCCGGAAUCAAGGGCGGAAGACCCCUCGGAAGCCUAUGUCGUCUUCCAAAGAAAAUGCUUCACCGUCAGAUCCCAAAUUCCCAACUCCAUGGUUCCCGAUUCCAAACCCUCGCCGACUAAGUUGAAGAGCCUGCUCCAUCUUCUAACCCACUUAAGCGGAAGCUCAGUAUGGAGACCGUUCCUGAGAAUUCCAUCCCUGGGUUGUCUGAUUCUGUUGUUAAGAUUAGAGAAGAUGUAAAAUCUGGUGUAGAAAAUUUAACAGAGGAGUGUGUAUCCACAAUGGCAGCCGUUACUCGGCUUCUAAUGAAGUCGAUUAUGGUGGCUCACUUUGGAAACUUGUUACAUAGCUACUGCCAAAAGCUUUAAAUUGCCUUCCGGAUGCACCUCAAAAUCAGCUUCAUUCUUUGUGUUUUCUAAUUUCUAGCUCACUCAAUUCAGCCAUGGAUGUACGGAGAUAUUCCAAAUUUUAUAAUGCAAAACCUGAUGAAGCCGAUGAUGGUGUUUGCACAAGAGCUUGGAGAUUCUUUUUAUCUUACUUCACAAUUGACGUUCUUUCAGUUCUUCCACUCCCCCAGCCAUGCAGGGUUUACAGAAAGAUUUGAACUUUUCAUUUGUGGUCGUGAGCUGGCCAAUGCAUUUUUCGAAUUGAUCGAUCGUAUUUAUCAGAGGAUGAUUAGAAGACCAGAUCAGGCAACACAAUGAGAAGCAUGGCUCAGCUGUUUCUUAUGUAUCUCGUUUCUUAUGUAAUGACUCUUUGGACUUCAAUUGCCAAAAAGAUGAGGAUGAUUCUUAUGAAGUGACACUUGAUGAUGAUUUUCUUACUGCUUUGGAAUAUGGAAUGCCACCAGCUUCUGGACUGGAAUAAAGGAAAAAAUGGAGUCUAAUCGAAUUUGGAACCUUUGCAAGCAAGGGGAAGUUUUCUGUUCCCUAUCUCUUUUUUCGAUCCUUACAAUCUUGCUUAAAAUGCUUUGAAGACAAAUUAAAGUUUUAAGUGGGGGGUAGGGUUGUAGCUUUGCAUGUUCUAUGUCCUUUGGGAAAUUUUCAUUUUGCCAGAAAUGUUCAAAUUUUAAACUUUUUCAAUGUCUUUAUUCUUAAAAUAAAUACCAUGUCUAAUUUGCUUUCUAGUUUAGACAAGCAUGUCUGCCUAACCCUUGAGCAUGGAGCUCGGGUUUGUGAUUGUGUUUGUCAUUUGAAUAUCUUAAAUAUGUUGAAAAUGCAUUCUUUGAUAGCAUAGAAAUGCGUAGAAGACAUGCUAUUCAUUUUCUAAAUAUUGUAAAUACUGUACAUACUUAAUAAUAUGUGUUGAAAACAUGUGCUGUUGAAAACAUGGCCUAACCAAAACCAGAUCUGCCUAGCCCUUAGAGUCCAGCCGGUUAGGUCAAGUAGAAUGCGUUGAGCUCCCUCAGUAUCAGAGCUUGUGUGGGGAACUCUUCACUUUUGGCCUAACCAAAACCAGACCUUCCUAGCCUUUAAAACCCAACCGGUUAGGUGAAGUAGAAUGCGUUGAGCUCCCUCAGUAUCAGAGCUUGUGUGGGGAACUCUUCACUUUUCGCCUAACCAAAACCAGACCUACCUAGCCCUUAAAGUCCAGCCGGUUAGGUCAAGUAGAAUGCGUUGAGCUCCCUCAGUAUCAGAGCUUGUGUGGGGAACUCUUCACUUUUGGCCUAACCAAAACCAGACCUUUCUAGCCUUUAAAACCCAACCAGUUAGGUGAAGUAGAAUGCGUUGAG